UUUGUGUCAUCGUGGAUUGUGGCUUUAUAUCUAGCGACUCUCCAUUUACUUUGGAAAUAAUCAAAUUUUCAACAGAAGGAAAAAGAACAGUAACGGAGGAUUUAUUUUAGGAAAUAUGUAGCACCAGAGAUUGUGCAAGCGUUUUGAGUCACUGCCAAGGUGCAAGAAAGAUUGUCAUGAAUCCUCGGGCUGUUCUAUUGCUCACACUGGUGGCCGUUCCAUGCACAUCUGCGAUAACUUGUAAAGCUGAUCAGUUUGCUUGUGCAAAUCAAGAAAAAUGUAUCCAUGCGUCUCUACGCUGCGACACCCACAGGCAAUGUAGCGAUGGAUCAGACGAACAAUGCACUGGCCGUAAGUACUUUAAAUUCAGACUGUGAUCUAUUUGUGUGUCGUCUCAAUAUGUACUAAUACAAUAACAACAUUAAGCAAUUGUCGUAUGAUUGAUUCGCCAUUCCAAGUUGUCUUUAGUUUCUUUAAGUGGUUCAUAUGUAGCCAUCAGGGACAAUUAAACAUGACUGAAGUAUGAAAAAGGGUUUUUAGAGGAAUAAUGAAAAAGAAUGAGGCAUAACAAAAGAAAA